rnacentral:rRNA from 1 species
GACGAACGCUGGCGGCGUGCUUAACACAUGCAAGUCGAACGCGAUUCAGGGAGCAGUUUACUGUGAACUGAUGAGAGUGGCGGACGGGUGAGUAACGCGUGGGUAACCUGGCCUAUGGAUGGGGAUAGCCUCGGGAAACCGGGAUUAAUACCGAAUAACGUUAGAUGGUCGCAUGAUCGUUUAACCAAAGGAUUUAUUGCCAUAGGAUGGACCCGCGUCCCAUUAGCUAGUUGGUAGGGUAAUGGCCUACCAAGGCGAAGAUGGGUAGCCGGCCUGAGAGGGUGAACGGCCACACUGGGACUGAGACACGGCCCAGACUCCUACGGGUGGCUG